ensembl:snoRNA
AUGGUCCUGAAUUAGAGGCCAGAAGUUUUCUGAAGCUGUUGGUUUCAAGGUGUUAUCUUUCUAUCGUCUGUUGGCCAUUUAAGAACUUUAAAAUGCAAUGGUCAAUUCAUUAGAAAGAAACAACC